rnacentral:sRNA from 1 species
UGCCUUUGACUGAAAGCUUAGGAGUCUAGUCUGUAAUAUUUUCCAACAGACUCCACUGAAGAUAUUUCAUUUGGCUUAAAUGCUGGGAUGUACAAGAGCUGAACAAUAAUUUUUGCAAGUCGUGAAUUGCAUGAAGAGGAAACACUUGUGUGUCUUGAAGAGAACUUACACUAAAGAGAAGAUACACUAAACACAAACCCAUUUUGUCAAUGAAUGCAAGUGGGAAAACUUAGGAUUCUACCCAGCAAACAAGAUUCCUUCUACAUAGAAGGGAGUCAGGAACAUCUAAUUUGGUUCGACACCAUGAAGGACAAAGACUCAGAUCUCCUUUUUUUUUGCUCCUAAAAGCUUCAAGACUAAACUCCGUGAAUUAUCAGUGAUAGCAAAUUUUCGAAUAUCUUAAUAUUUAUUUUAUGUGCUUUCACAUGUCUCUGCUGAUCCGCGCAUGUGAGGAAAUGUGCCUACAGUGUCCAGAAGAGGGCGCUGGAACCCCUGGAGCUAGAGUUAUGCACAGUUGUGAGGCAUGGUGCUCCUGGGAACUCAACUGGGGUUCUCUGAAAGAACAGAACAUGCUCUUCACUGCUGAAGCAUUUACCUAGUAGGAAUAAGACAGUUUUAUCCCGCCAUCCUUGGAGGGGUGCCACAAUCUAGAUAUAAAAUGAAAAGGUAGAUUAUACCUCGGAGACUACAAACAUCAUCUUAAGAAGACAGUCUUUAGAAGUGAUGAAGAUUUGAGUUAGGUCUUGAAAGCAGCAUCGUGGAGAGGAAGGAAAUAGCUCUUUGAAAACUGCAUGAGCGGAGUCAACAGAAAUUGAGGCCGAGCACGUAUGAUUAAUGCCAACCUGUCUGGAACAUGCCUCCAUCACUCCACCGUCUUCCCAUCUUUCUUAGAUGCUGAGAAAAUGCUUUUCACAGCUAUGAUGACACAGCCAGAAAUAUCACCUUUUGAAGACAUCGUAACUGUGAGAUAUGACACUCGUUUGGCCGUUAGGAGGUUAUUUGCUGUGGCCAUUAAAUACAGCCCUGUCACUUCCGCUCACCUGGGCUAUAUUUCCUCCUUCAAUAGACUAUCCAUAAAUAUCAGCUCAGGUAUAAAUAGAAAUAAUGCAUAUUUUCAGCUAAAGAAGACAUGCGCAGCAGAAUACUGCUGGAGGGGCAAAGUAGCAAGCCUUCUCUACGUGGGCUUUGCAAGUCCAGAGGCUGUAUGUUCUGGUGAGGUCUCAGAACUCAAAUCGGUAUGAUCUCUUUAGGUCAGUUAGGCCUCACACACAGCUACUAAAUUCAAGAAUAUUCUAGACUUCCCACUUGUUGGCCCAAUUUUUUUUUCUGCCACUUGAUAAUUGGAAUGAAUUCCUCGUGGUCAGAACUUAAUUCUAGUUACUUUUAAUACUGUUAACAAUACAUUAAACUUAAAUGUUCCCAAACGUUAAGGAGAUGAAUGAUAUACUCAUUGAACUCAAAUAAUUUUGUAUAUUCUCAUUUAAUACUUGAGAACUUUCUUAGGGAUCUGCUGAUCUACACAAAAAAUAUCACAAACCAAGGCUAACACUUUUACUCUUGUUCAAGAGUAAGACAACGAUGCUACCUGUGUGCGAUUUUGUAGCACAAGUGGCUAGCACUGUAGGUGUUUAUAGAAAAAGGCUGACCAUCAGUUCCCUGUGAUUGACAGCUUACCUGAGCUCUGUAGAAGAGAGACAACAGGAGCUUUUGGCUGGACAUCCUGGGGAAUGAGCCAAAAAAGAGAAACCAAGAAUAUUCCUAACGUACAUGGACGUAUUUUCUGGAAAACCCCGAGGAGUGGCUAGCUCAUCCUUCAAUGUAUCUUGACCAAGUGAAAUAGAGCCCAUGGAGGGGUGAGACUUAGCAUCACUUUGUGACUCAAGAGAGAUCAACCUACUUCAGAGAAGAAAGGCAUUAACUCAUUCAUAGAUGCUUCGAUUCUGUCCCAGAAAUGUACCCGAUGUUCAAGCCCGGAAUGCGCAUCUCUCAAGCACAUGGCCAUGACUACUGAGCGCCUGCUCUAAGGCACCUGUGCGUGGAUCUGCAACCUCAUCGGGCAUCCUGGUCACUGUCUCUCUGGCAACUUAUUUGGCUUUAUUUCCUUUCAUAGGAAUUAACAUGGCUUUUCUGCGCAUG